CCCUACGGUGGGAAUACCACGAAACGCAGAACACAAACUGACAUACUUGAAUAGGGCAAGCUAAUUUUACAGCAACUAUUCCUCUUGAUGAAACUCCCCAAACCAAUGGAAGGAGCCGCAUCGGAGAAAAAAACACAGAGAGCCACAGGAGAGCAAGACACAUCGCGACACCACACUAAAGGACCAAGGUACCGUCAACACAUCCUGUGUGGCUAGCUUCGUAGUUUGCUUCGUUCUUUGCUAAUGAAAAAAAAAGGAACAGAUUGAUGUCUCGCUCCACGGUACAGGGACCUGAGGUUACUGGGACUGAGGCUGGGAAAGCUACGCUGCUAAGCUAGCAUUGUUGGCCGUUACCUCCUCCCGCUAAAACCCUGUUCGUACACAUAUUGACACCACCACACUAGAACUGAACUGAACUUUUGUCUUUGUUUUUUUUUGGAUACGGAGCAAACAAAAUUUGGUAUUUAUCUGUAAGUCUGGGUUUUUGUUUCUUCUUCUGCUGUUUCCUUGUGUUCUAAAUGUAUUAAUAUAAAAGGGAGCAUUCUUAAAGCCCUGUGUUGUAGUUAUUUUUACCCAUCGGAAAAAAUGAAAUGAGUUAACCAGUGUUUUUUAAAAAAAAUUUGCAAGGGGGAUCAUAUCUGACCCUAGACUGUUUCUUUAAACUGGGAUGUCCUCAACUCUCUUACUUCAACAAACAGAGUGGUGAACGGGUUACACAAGAAAAAACGGAAACAGAGAAGCAAAUAAACAGAGCAAGACAGUAAUAGAAUGACUCUCAAGACAGAACAUAGGAAGGACUGUCAGGUUAUGGGAAACAGGUCCCAGAAGGCACAUUGCCCUGAGCUGACAAGACAAGAAUUCAUGAAAUAACAUGAAAUGACAUGAUGAGCCCUUAAUUCAACAGGGAGUGUCUGGUACACUGGGAAUAAAGAACAGUAAACCCUCUUUAGUAGAAAAGACAGACGAGAGAAUUACAACAGGAGAAUCUACACAGGUAGAGAUGAAUAAUCAAACUUUAAAAUAUGGAGGGUUUUAGUCCAGCCAGUAAUCUGUUUAUGAUUUGUUGAAGACAAGAAACCUUAUCACCUAGGAAAGAGGCAUGCAAACUCCGGAAACAAGAAAAAGCAUGAUCAUUAAGGAAUUUUUAGAAAGUCAAUGGUGAGUUUUUUUUUAGAGCAAAAGUCAAAAGUGUGAGCUGUUUUCUUUCGAAUGGCAUGAUUCAUCUUUUUUUGUAAAGUUUCUCAGGCAGGUCUCUUUGCUCAAAAAGAAAAAACUACAAAUCAUGGACUUCCAUGACAGCAGCUCAUGUUUUUUUUUUUUUUUUUUAAAUCAAGAAUAUACUAUCAGCAGUUUUCUUCAUAAUGAUAGAUAAAAAAAGAAAAACAGGAAGUUUUGCAUAAAGUUAGUAGAAAAUAGUUUCUUCCCCCAAAGAGAAACAGACUAACUUUGUCAUUUUGUAUCCAGAUUGACACUCAGUCGGAUUUAUUAAGCAAUGUUCAGCAGUCGGCAGAGUCACUUUCUGACGUUAGUCUCAUGUCUUUUGAGCUCGUAUGCCACAGGUCAGAUCAGGGUGGUUGGGGAUGGAUCGACUGAAUGCUCUGGAAGAGUUGAAAUCCAACACAAUGGAGUCUGGGGAACAGUCUGUCAUGACAACUGGGAUCUAAAUGAUGCCAAAGUGGUCUGCAGACAGUUGUCCUGUGGGACAGCUCUUCAUGCUGCAAAAUCGGCUCUUUUUGGAAAAGGAUCAGGCACUAUCUGGCUGGAUGAUGUAGCAUGUUUAGGCAAUGAAAGCUCAUUAACAGAGUGUGAUCACAGAGGUUACGGGACCCAUAACUGUAAUCACGGUGAAGAUGCUGGUGUCAUCUGUUCAGGUAAGUAGACCUUAUAUUGUUGUGAGCUUCACAAAAGUUUAAGAUGCAGUCAUCUUCUGUAAACUUCUUCAACCAUUUUUUAUUUGAAUGUCAGCAAAACUAG